UACAGAGGUCUCAAGCGUUGUUCGGAUUCAUUGGGCGUAAAGGGUGCGUAGGUGGCGCUGUAAGUCAGGUGUGAAAUUUCGGAGCUUAACUCCGAAACUGCAUUUGAUACUGCGGUGCUUGAGGACUGGAGAGGAGACUGGAAUUUACGGUGUAGCAGUGAAAUGCGUAGAGAUCGUAAGGAAGACCAGUGGCGAAGGCGGGUCUCUGGACAGUUCCUGACGCUGAGGCACGAAGGCCAGGGGAGCAAACGGG
rnacentral:rRNA from 1 species